rnacentral:rRNA from 1 species
AGGCUUUGAUCCUGGCUCAGGAUGAACGCUGGCGGCGUGCCUAACACAUGCAAGUCGAGCGAUUUUCUUCGGAGAAGAGCGGCGGACGGGUGAGUAACGCGUGGGUAACCUGCCCUGUACACACGGAUAACAUACCGAAAGGUAUGCUAAUACGGGAUAACAUAUUUUGAUGGCAUCAUCGAAAUAUCAAAGCUCUGGCGGUACAGGAUGGACCCGCGUCUGAUUAGCUAGUUGGUGAGGUAAUGGCUCACCAAGGCGACGAUCAGUAGCCGACCUGAGAGGGUGAUCGGCCACAUUGGAACUGAGACACGGUCCAAACUCCUACGGGAGGCAGCAGUGGGGAAUAUUGCACAAUGGGCGAAAGCCUGAUGCAGCAACGCCGCGUGAGUGAUGAAGGCCUUCGGGUCGUAAAGCUCUGUCCUCAAGGAAGAUAAUGACGGUACUUGAGGAGGAAGCCCCGGCGU